rnacentral:rRNA from 1 species
UGGGGAAUAUUGGGCAAUGGGGGCAACCCUGAUCCAGCCAUGCCGCGUGAGUGAUGAAGGCCUUCGGGUUGUAAAGCUCUUUUGGCGGGGACGAUGAUGACGGUACCCGCAGAAUAAGCCCCGGCUAACUUCGUGCCAGCAGCCGCGGUAAGACGAAGGGGGCUAGCGUUGUUCGGAAUUACUGGGCGUAAAGCGAGUGUAGGCGGUUGCCGUAGUCAGGUGUGAAAGCCUUGAGCUCAACUCAAGAAAUGCACUUGAUACUGGGUGACUAGAGGACCGGAGAGGAUAGUGGAAUUCCCAGUGUAGUGGUGAAAUACGUAGAGAUUGGGAAGAACACCAGUGGCGAAGGCGGCUAUCUGGACGGUUACUGACGCUAAGACUCGAAAGCGUGGGGAGCAAACAGGAUUAGAUACCCUGGUAGUCCACGCCGUAAACGAUGGGUGCUAGACGUUGGCGAGCUUGCUCGUCAGUGUCGCAGCUAACGCGUUAAGCACCCCGCCUGGGGAGUACGGCCGCAAGGUUGAAACUUAAAGGAAUUGACGGGGGUCAUAGCUGUUUCCU